rnacentral:rRNA from 1 species
GACGAACGCUGGCGGCGCGCCUAACACAUGCAAGUCGAACGGAGCUGAGAGAAGCUUGCUUUUCUUAGCUUAGUGGCGAACGGGUGAGUAACGCGUGAGUAACCUGCCCUGGAGUGGGGGACAACAGUUGGAAACGACUGCUAAUACCGCAUAAGCCCACGAUCCGGCAUCGGAUUGAGGGAAAAGGAUUUAUUCGCUUCAGGAUGGACUCGCGUCCAAUUAGCUAGUUGGUGAGGUAACGGCCCACCAAGGCGACGAUUGGUAGCCGGACUGAGAGGUUGAACGGCCACAUUGGGACUGAGACACGGCCCAGACUCCUACGGGAGGCAGCAGUGGGGGAUAUUGCACAUUGGGGGAAACCCUGAUGCAGCGACGCCGCGUGGAGGAAGAAGGUUUUCGGAUUGUAAACUCCUGUCGUUAGGGACGAUAAUGACGGUACCUAACAAGAAAGCACCGGCUAACUACGUG